UACAGAGGUCUCAAGCGUUGUUCGGAUUCAUUGGGCGUAAAGGGUGCGUAGGUGGCGGGGUAAGUCAGGUGUGAAAUUUCGGAGCUUAACUCCGAAACUGCAUUUGAUACUGCCUUGCUUGAGGACUGGAGAGGAGACUGGAAUUCACGGUGUAGCAGUGAAAUGCGUAGAGAUCGUGAGGAAGACCAGUGGCGAAGGCGGGUCUCUGGACAGUUCCUGACGCUGAGGCGCGAAGGCCAGGGGAGCAAACGGG
rnacentral:rRNA from 1 species